UACGUAGGGUCCGAGCGUUGUCCGGAUUUAUUUGGGCGUAAAGAGCUCGUAUGGCGGCUUGGCUAAAGUUCAGGUGUGAAAACCUCCAGGCUCAACCUGGAGCCGCCACCUGAUACUGGUAUGGCUAGAGUCCGGUAGGGGACCACGGAAUUCCUGGUGUAGCGGUGAAAAUGCGCAGAUAUCAGGAGGAACACCGGUGGCGAAAAGCAGCUCUCUGGGAACGGUACUGACGCUGAGACGCGAAAAGCGU
rnacentral:rRNA from 1 species